rnacentral:lncRNA from 1 species
AAGUGUGAGUAAUAUGGGUAAUAGUCUCACAUUGGUUGGAAAUAUGGAGACUUGAGCAUUUAUAAGUGAGAGAAUCCACUCACCUAUCACCUUAAGGUUUUGGGUGAAUAUAUGGUGUGUGUCUCACAAAGGUGUUGCUCUAAAAAGAAGAAGCCUUAUAAUGUUCAAUGCUCCCAAGUGAAAAACUCUCCCAACAAAAUUUAUAUGAAAAAUUAUGUUAUUU